UACGUAGGGGGCGAGCGUUGUCCGAAUUCACUGGGCGUAAAGCGCGCGUAGGCGGGUUAUUAAGUUGGAGGUGAAAUCCCGGGGCUCAACCCCGGAACUGCCCCCAAAACUGGUAGCCUUGAGGUAUGGAGAGGGAAGUGGAAUUCCAGGUGUAGCGGUGAAAUGCGUAGAUAUCUGGAGGAACACCCGUGGCGAAGGCGGCUUCCUGGUCAUAUCCUGACGCUGAGGUGCGAAAGCUAGGGGAGCGAACGGGAUUAGAUACCCCGGUAGUCCUAGCCGUAAACGAUGGAUACUAGGUGUUAGAGGUAUCGACCCCUCUAGUGCCGCAGCUAACGCAUUAAGUAUCCCGCCUGGGGAGUACGACCGCAAGGUUGAA
rnacentral:rRNA from 1 species